AACUUUUAGCAAUGGAUCACUUGGCUCUCCCAUCGAUGAAGAACGCAGCGAAAUGCGAUAAGUAAUGUGAAAUGCAGAAUUCAGUGAAUCAUCGAAUCUUUGAACGCACCUUGCGCCCUUUGGUAUUCCGAAGGGCAUGCCUGUUUGAGUGUCAUUAAAUUAUCAACCUUGCUCGCUUUUACCGGCUUGAGCUGAGGCUUGGACGUGGGGGUUGCUGGCUUCCUUCAGUGGAUGGUCUGCUCUCCUUAAAUGCAUUAGCGGAAUCUCUUGUGGACCGUCACUCGGUGUGAUAAUUAUCUAUACCGCAUGGCCUUGAAGCAAACUUAUGGGACUCAGCUUAUAACCGUCUUCUUUACUGAGACAAUUUUUAAUAACAUCUUGACCUCAAAUCAGGUAGGACUACCCGCUGAACUUAAGCAUAUCAAUAAGCGGAGGCU
rnacentral:misc_RNA from 1 species